rnacentral:rRNA from 1 species
GGCGGCAGCUAACUCUCUGCAACUCUCACAUGGUCACCCACCAAAGCUAAGCAGGGCUGUGCCCGGUCAGUAUACCUGGAUGGGAGACCACAUGGGAAAGCUUGUUUGCUGGUGUUA